CCGGGUUGACGCGCUCGCGGCUCUGGAUGUUUUCGGUGCAGAUCGCCUGCUUGAUCGCGUAGAGGCGCGUCUUGGUGAUGCCGUCGCGCUGGUCGCCGAUGAAUUUGUAGGCCAGUCUCUUGGCCAGACACGCGAUUGAAAAGGCGCGUUGAAAGAGUCGCUUUUGCGCUGUCGUGGGUCGAAUCCGGAGGGCAAAGACUCGACGGUCGGUCUUGGCGGGGUCGACCUUGGUGUUGCACGAGGCGCUGGCGCGCUUGGCCUUGCGCCGCUUCUUGGACGACGCAAUGACCUCCUCUCUCGAUGCAGAGGGUCGCUCGACAACUUCAAAGCCGACUGGAACCGCAGCCGACGGCGGAGGCCGGGACAUGGUCAUGUGCACCCAUCCGACCGGGAGGACAUUUUCGGGCGGCAAAGCGAGGUCGGGUUGGUCGCUGAGGCGUCGCGCCAGGUCGGCCGUGCGUUGAGGAUCAAACCACGGAGGCCUCCUGAGCGCUGCAGGCGCGGUCGACGGCCCCGCGGCGUGAGAGUCCAUCGAGGUCGUCGACGGUGUCCCUUGGGUCGGCGGUGUCAGGGUGGUGCGGCGGCGGGCGAUAACCCGACGCGGCUUCUCACGGUCUUUUAUACCACCCGUUUUUCUCACAGCCGAGCGACAGGCGCGCCGGGCCUUCGACCAAGGCGAUUCGCCCGUCAACAUACCCGGCAAACCCCACCGUCCAACUAGAAAAGAGCGAGCAACGCGGCGCCAAAGGAAAUGGGACUGACGGGAGACUGACAGCGAUCGUGCCAGUUGUCGUCGAGCGCGACAAUGGCGCGGGGCCAGUGGGUCGAUCGACUUGCCUCCCUUGCUGUCGGCGCGGUCGCCCGUGAUGGACGCCAAGCGAGGCAACAUCCUUUCCGUUGCAAAAAAAGAAGAAGACAAAACCCAUCGUCGCGAAGCGGCCCUUAAAAAUUUUUUUUAGAGAGGUCCGCCGGCAGCGCGGCGACGGUGACACAAAGAAAGGCACAGGGAGACCCGCCAAGAGCAUCGUCGGCGGCGACGGCAACGGUGGCGGCGACAGGGGCCGACCCUUUUUAGCGUGACCUCCUGGAGACACAGAGGACGGAAAAGGGAAGAGAAAACGCAAAGAGAAAAAGGGAAAAGAAGGUGGUGUCGACAGCGCCCAAGGUCGGAGGAAAGGGCGAAAGGAGAGGAGGACGGCGGGAAAUGGGCGCACAAGAACAAGAAGAGGAAAAAGUGUGUUUGUCGGGGAGGCGGCAAAAUGGCAGCGCGACAACAACACGGCGACGCACGGGACGACGGGAACAAGAAGACCCCAAAGACUCUGCAAAAAAUUUUGCGUAAGGUAUAGGGAUAUAUGCAUGAAAAAACCGGGAUAAAUCUAGACAUUUUAUAAAAUAAAAAACCGGGAUAAAGGGAG
rnacentral:lncRNA from 1 species